GGCAGGUUUGCGCGGGAACACUGGAAGGUCACCCCUAAGGUGGCAGCGCCCAACGGGCGUCUCCCUUCCACCCGGGACCUGCUAUUUU
rnacentral:ncRNA from 1 species